UCCCAAUGUAGAUAUCCAGGGGUGAUGUCGUAUGCAAGAAGGAACUCAGUUUUGGCUUAGUCGUUGCUUAAAAAGAUGUUUGAAGGUGAUGUUUUUUGGUCUAGGGGGAAUCCUCUCAUCACGAUUCCCAACAGUCAAAUGCUUUUCCAGGUGCAUUGAACUAAUGGGUAUGCCUCACCAAAGAACUAGCAGGACGGUUGCUUUCCAAUUUCAGCAGCACUGAGGCCAACAGCACAACCUAAAGGUGGCGUGAGCACUCCAUGAGCUGAUGUUGAUGACUGUAAUGAUGUGUGGGCCAAAUAGUCGAUUGCCUGCGUAAAGGUUAGUCCUUUUGUUUUUGGUGAUUGAACAAAAUCAAUGGGAUUUAUUUAUU